CACCCCGCCCCCCACCCCAGCGGAGAAGCACAAACCUUUGGGUAAAAGGUGCCCGGGGAGGGACUCUCUGCAAGUUGGCAGCAUGUCAUGGUUUAGUGGUCUCCUGGUCCCCAAAGUGGAUGAACGGAAAACAGCCUGGGGUGAACGCAAUGGGCAGAAGCGCCCACGCCGUGGGACUCGGUCCAGUGGCUUCUGUACACCCCACUAUAUGAGCUGCCUCCAGGAUGCAGAGCCACCCAGCCCCACCCCUGCAGCUCCUGCUCGGUGCCCCUGGCAGGAUGAGGCCUUCAUCCGGAGGGCAGGCCCAGGCAAAGGCGUGGAGCUGGGGUUGCGGGCAGUGGCCCUGGGCUUUGAGGACACUGAGGUGACAGCAGCAGUUGGAACAGCUGAGGUGGCACCUGAUGUGGCACCCAGGAGCAGGAGAUCCUGCUGGCGCCGUCUGGUGCAGGUGUUCCAGUCAAAGCAGUUCCGCUCAGCUAAGCUGGAGCGCCUGUACCAGCGCUACUUCUUCCAGAUGAACCAGAGUAGCCUGACGCUGCUGAUGGCGGUGCUUGUGCUGCUCAUGGUGGUGCUGCUCAUUUUCCACGCAGCACCCACACGCCCUCAGCCUGCCUACGUGGCCCUGCUGGCCUGUGCUGCCACCCUCUUUGUGGUACUCAUGGUGGUAUGUAACCGACACAGUUUCCGCCAGGACUCCAUGUGGGUGGUGAGUUACGUGGUGCUGGGCAUCCUGGCGGCUGUGCAGGUCGGGGGUGCCCUGGCAGCCAACCCGCACAGCCCCUCGGCAGGCCUCUGGUGCCCCGUGUUUUUCGUCUACAUCACCUACACACUCCUACCCAUCCGCAUGCGGGCUGCUGUGCUCAGUGGACUGGGCCUCUCCACGCUGCAUUUGAUCUUGGCCUGGCAACUCAACCGUGGUGACACCUUCCUCUGGAAGCAGCUUGGUGCUAAUGUGGUGCUGUUCCUCUGCACCAACGUCAUUGGCAUCUGCACACACUACCCAGCUGAGGUGUCUCAGCGCCAGGCCUUUCAGGAGACCCGCGGUUAUAUCCAGGCUCGUCUGCACCUGCAGCAUGAGAAUCGGCAGCAGGAGCGGCUGCUGCUCUCGGUGUUGCCCCAGCAUGUUGCCAUGGAGAUGAAAGAAGACAUCAACACAAAAAAAGAAGACAUGAUGUUCCACAAGAUCUACAUCCAAAAGCAUGACAAUGUCAGCAUCCUGUUUGCGGACAUUGAGGGCUUCACCAGCCUGGCCUCUCAGUGCACUGCUCAGGAGCUGGUCAUGACCUUGAAUGAGCUCUUUGCCCGGUUUGACAAGCUGGCCGCGGAAAAUCAUUGCCUCAGGAUCAAAAUCUUAGGGGAUUGUUACUACUGUGUGUCAGGGCUGCCGGAGGCCCGAGCAGAUCAUGCCCAUUGCUGUGUGGAGAUGGGGGUGGACAUGAUCGAGGCCAUCUCAUUGGUGCGUGAGGUGACAGGCGUGAAUGUGAACAUGCGUGUGGGCAUCCACAGUGGGCGUGUACACUGUGGUGUCCUUGGCCUGAGGAAAUGGCAGUUUGAUGUGUGGUCCAACGAUGUAACCCUGGCCAACCACAUGGAGGCAGGGGGCCGGGCUGGACGCAUCCACAUCACUCGGGCCACGCUGCAGUACCUGAAUGGGGACUAUGAGGUGGAGCCAGGCCAUGGUGGUGAGCGCAACGCAUACCUCAAGGAGCAGCGUAUUGAGACUUUCCUCAUCCUGGGUGCCAGCCAGAAAAGGAAAGAGGAGAAGGCCAUGCUGGCCAAGCUGCAGCGGACACGGGCCAACUCCAUGGAAGGGCUAAUGCCACGCUGGGUGCCUGAUCGUGCUUUCUCCCGGACCAAGGACUCCAAAGCUUUUCGCCAGAUGGGCAUUGAUGAUUCCAGCAAAGACAACCGGGGUGCCCAAGAUGCCCUGAACCCUGAGGAUGAGGUGGAUGAGUUCCUGGGUCGUGCCAUCGAUGCCCGCAGCAUUGAUCAGCUGCGUAAGGACCAUGUGCGCCGGUUCCUGCUCACCUUCCAAAGAGAGGAUCUUGAGAAGAAGUACUCACGGAAGGUGGAUCCCCGCUUCGGAGCCUAUGUCGCCUGUGCCUUGCUGGUCUUCUGCUUCAUCUGCUUCAUCCAGCUCCUCAUCUUCCCACACUCCACCCUGAUGCUUGGGAUCUAUGCCAGUAUCUUCCUGCUGUUGCUGGUUACUGUGCUGAUCUGUGCUGUAUACUCCUGUGGUUCCCUGUUCCCCAAGGCCCUGCAGCGUUUGUCCCGUAGCAUUGUCCGUUCACGGGCACAUAGCACCACAGUCGGCAUCUUUUCAGUCCUCCUUGUGUUCAUUUCUGCUAUUGCUAACAUGUUCACCUGUGACCACACCCCCAUACGGACUUGUGCAGCCCAGAUGCUGAAUUUAACACCUGCUGACAUCACUGCCUGUCAUCUACAACAGCUCAAUUACUCUCUUGGCCUGGAUGCUCCCCUGUGUGAGGGCACCGCACCCACCUGCAGCUUCCCUGAGUACUUCGUUGGGAACAUGCUCCUGAGUCUUUUGGCCAGCUCUGUCUUCCUGCACAUAAGCAGCAUCGGCAAGUUGGCCAUGAUCUUUGUCUUGGGGCUCAUCUAUUUGAUGCUGCUUCUGCUGGGUCCCCCAGCCACCAUCUUCGACAACUAUGACCUACUGCUUGGUGUCCAUGGCUUGGUUCCAUCCAAUGAGACCUUUGAUGGGCUGGACUGCCCAGCUGCAGGGAGGGUGGCACUCAAAUACAUGACCCCUGUGAUCCUAUUGGUGUUUGCACUGGCGCUGUAUCUGCAUGCCCAGCAGGUGGAGUCAACUGCCCGCCUGGACUUCCUCUGGAAACUGCAGGCAACAGGGGAGAAGGAGGAGAUGGAGGAGCUCCAAGCAUACAACCGGCGGUUGCUGCAUAACAUUCUACCCAAGGAUGUGGCUGCCCACUUCCUGGCCCGUGAGCGCCGGAAUGAUGAACUCUACUAUCAGUCGUGUGAGUGUGUGGCUGUUAUGUUUGCCUCCAUUGCCAACUUCUCCGAGUUCUAUGUGGAGCUGGAGGCAAAUAAUGAGGGUGUCGAGUGCCUGCGGCUGCUCAACGAGAUCAUCGCUGACUUUGAUGAGAUCAUCAGCGAGGAACGGUUCAAGCAACUGGAAAAGAUCAAGACAAUUGGUAGCACCUACAUGGCUGCCUCUGGGCUGAAUGCCAGCACCUAUGAUCAGGUGGGACGAUCCCACAUCACUGCCCUUGCAGACUAUGCAAUGCGGCUCAUGGAGCAGAUGAAGCACAUCAAUGAGCACUCCUUCAACAAUUUCCAGAUGAAGAUUGGGCUGAACAUGGGCCCAGUUGUGGCAGGUGUCAUUGGGGCUCGGAAACCACAGUAUGACAUCUGGGGGAACACAGUGAAUGUCUCUAGUCGUAUGGACAGCACAGGGGUCCCUGACCGAAUACAGUACUUACCCUUCUGUGAUGAUGUGAGAAAAUAUAGUGCCUACACCAUGAGAUGAAGUUAGGUGAAUGAUGUAAGCAUUGGGAUGAAAUCUUGGGCUACUACAUUAAGAGUUACUUGAACACCAGCAAUGUGAUAGUGGUUUUGAAAACCAAGAUGACCAAUGAGUGACUAACGGGUAUCUGAAACAGCAGAAAGUCAAACUAUGGAUAAAGGGGGAAAUUAAGAAGAUGAGUUUGGCUAGAAAAUAACUGAAGAUUAAGGAAUCAUUCUGGAGACAAGGGUGGCUUAAAAAUGGUUUGGCUUGUGGAAACUAAGGGUAAGUAGUCAAGGCACUAUGGGUUCCCUGAAUUAAUGCAUAUAUAAAUUGGAAUGAGAAAAAGUGGGGUAAACAAAAUGUAUAUAGGCUUGUUAGAAAUAAAAAAGAAUGCUAUAUUUUAUUUAUAAUCUCCCUGCUCCCCUUGUGAAUUUCCCAAACUAGUUCUGAGGCACUAGUAAGGUAUGAUGCACUUCCCCUACUACAGGUUCACCGGCUUAAACCCCUCUCAGCUGACAAUUUAUUUCAAGCAACUUCAGCAGCACCAGGAUUCAGAACCAUCUGAGUUCUGUUGUACAUUUCUGCUGUUAUGAUAAAUAAGAUGAGAAAUAAAAUUUUAUAUGUUAGCAAUACAUUUAAGUUACGGAUGACUGGAUACUGGCAGUUUUAAUGGAGUGAUGGGGGCAAGAACCUGGCUGGAAUAAGCUCAAGAGAGAAUGGCAGAACAAAGUACAACAAGAACAGACAACUCCUUUGGAGAAUUUUCUCUAUGGAGAUGGGAGUCAGGGAAGCAGGAAAGAUGGUGCUUGAAGAGGGAAAAAAGAAAUUAUAGCAUGUGUGUGUACAGACAGAAAUGAUCAGAGGUGGUAAAAUUAAUGUGAGAUUGUGUCCUUGAGUAGUCAAAAAGAGAUGGAGGGGCUGGGGCUCACAUAUGAGGAACUGGGUUUAAUCCUCAGCACCAAGUAAAAAUAAAUACAUACAUAAAUAUAUAGUGUCCAUCUACAACUAAAUAAAGUAUAUUAAAAAAAGAGAUGGAAUCUGGUGCACAAGUGAAGGGUUUGUCUUAAUAGGUGUGUGGACCAUUCAUUAUAAUAGAAAAGAUACGGGCACAUAUGUGGGUAGACAGACAGAUGUGGUUUGUGAGAGCUUUUAGAAAUUAUCUUCCAAUAGCUUUUAUUUUCCCUGUGAAAUAGAAAGUAAGUCAUGGACUGGGGAUGUGACUCAGUGGUAAAGUGUUUGUCUAGCAUGUGUGAAGCCAUAGGUUCAAUCCCCAGCACAGAAAAUAAAAAAGGAAAUGUAGUGUGACUUCUGGGCAGCCAUGAAGGCCUAUUCGACUUUAUGAUCAUAAUCAGAUCAAAACUGGAAAGAUAAUCAGCACAGGUGUUUUUCUCUAGGCUGUUAGUAUAAAAUUAUCAUUCCAGUUUUGUUAUAAUUGUGGAUAGGAGUGGGGAGAGGAAGGUGGUGAAAGAAAUGAGUGCAACAGAUUGAAGGGACUGUAUGGUCAAGGGAGGUCCCCCUAAUUCACAGGGGAAGUCUAGACUUGUGCCUUACUUAGGAGUUUCUUAUAUAUUCUGAAUAUUAUUGAAUACAUGAAUUAUACAUGUGAAUAUGUAGGAUAUGUGUUUGGUACUACAUUGAAUAAAAGUAGGGAAAGUGGGCAUCCUCAUUCCCCAAUUCAAUAUGAUGUUGAAUAAUUAUAUAUGGCUUUUGUUAUGUUGAAGCACAUUCUUUCCAUAUAUAAUUUGUUCAGUAUUUUUAUUAUGAAGUGAUGUUGAAUUUGAUCGAAUGACUGUGGAGACCAACCUCGCACUUGACUGACUUAACUCCCCUGCAGGGCAAUGUGACAUCAGGCACCCAUGCUGUUAGACUGCCACGCUCUUCUAGGGUUUGAGCGACUGUGUCUUCUCAUGUGUCUUCCUAUAGCCCCAUGGGUGGAGCUAUGCUCACCUGUUCCUUUGUAAUAUAACCCCUUGCCCUGUUUAGGAUAGAAUCUUCCAUGGAAGUGCCUUGUGUGUGUCCCCUUCUCUUACUGUGCUUUUGGGUGUGGCCUACAGUGGACAUCAUGAAGACACUCAGCCCCCUGAAACCUGGCCCCUUGCCUCCUUUGAAUAGCUUCUCCUCAAUAAAAGGGGUCAGCGAGUGUCUUGAUCUCUCUCUUCCUCCGGACCCUUAAAGUCAGAGGAGUGAUCAUAGCAAUCCCAAAGAAAAAGGUAUUUGUGUCUCUUGUGUGUUUUUUUUACGCAGCCCAGUUAGCCCUGUUUACCUUGAGUGGGUCACCCCUGAGCCUUUUAGUUGAGAACAGAAAAUCCGGCAAAUGACUUUUCUAUAUCUUUUGAGAUAAUCAUAUGGUGUUUGUCCUUUACUCUGUUGAUGUAAAUAUGUUAAAUUUGUUGAUUGAUAUAUGUUGAAACAUCCUUGUACCUCCUGUAUGAGAUAAUGGUGUAUAAUCUUCUUGAUUUGCUUUGCUAGUGUUCUGUUGAGAAUUUUUUGCAUCUGUGUUCAUCAGACACAUUGGUCAUCCUUUCUUUCUUUCUUUGGUACCAGGGAUUGAACUCAGGGGCACU